rnacentral:tRNA from 1 species
AUUUAUAUAGUUUAAAUAAAACAUUAUAUUUUCACUAUAAAAAUAGAAAUUUUUUUCUUAUAAAUA